rnacentral:rRNA from 1 species
UACAGAGGGGGCAAGCGUUGUUCGGAAUUACUGGGCGUAAAGGGCGCGUAGGCGGCCUUCUAAGUCGAACGUGAAAUCCCCGGGCUCAACCCGGGAACUGCGUCCGAUACUGGAAGGCUAGAAUCCGGGAGAGGGAUGCGGAAUUCCAGGUGUAGCGGUGAAAUGCGUAGAUAUCUGGAAGAACACCGGUGGCGAAGGCGGCAUCCUGGACCGGUAUUGACGCUGAGGCGCGAAAGCCAGGGGAGCAAACGGG